AACGGUCUAUACCUGCGGUACCUGCGGAGGGAUCAUUAACGAGUGUAACUUACCCUUUUUUUUAAAAGAGGGUAGUACCUCCUGUCCUUUGUAGGCCCCUUUUUAUUGGGGGGCUUUUUAAGACUUUCUGCUUCGGCGGGGUUAUUCCCGCCGGAACACCCUCAAAAAACUCUUCAAAAACUAAUUCAGUCCGAGAAUUUUUGAAAAUAAAAAAAACUUUCAACAACGGAUCUCUAGAUC
rnacentral:misc_RNA from 1 species